rnacentral:rRNA from 1 species
UAGGUGCGGAGUGAAAGCGGGGGACCCUUCGGGGCCUCGCGCGACUGGAUGAGCCGAUGCCGGAUUAGCUUGUUGGCGGGGUAACGGCCCACCAAGGCGACGAUCCGUAGCUGGUCUGAGAGGAUGAUCAGCCACAUUGGGACUGAGACACGGCCCAAACUCCUACGGGAGGCAGCAGUGGGGAAUAUUGGACAAUGGGGGCAACCCUGAUCCAGCAAUGCCGCGUGUGUGAAGAAGGCCUUCGGGUUGUAAAGCACUUUUAUCGGGAACGAAACAUUGUCGGCCAAUACCCGGCAAGACUGACGGUACCCGAGGAAUAAGCACCGGCUAACUCCGUGCCAGCAGCCGCGGUAAUA